rnacentral:rRNA from 2 species
AGUGGCAGACGGGUGAGUAAUGUAUAGGAAUCUACCUAGUAGUACGGAAUAAUUGUUGGAAACGGCAACUAAUACCGUAUACGCCCUACGGGGGAAAAAUUUAUUGCUAUUAGAUGAGCCUAUAUUAGAUUAGUUAGUUGGUGAGGUAAAGGCUUACCAAGACAAUGAUCUAUAGCUGAUCUGAGAGGAUGAUCAGCCACACUGGAACUGAGAUACGGUCCAGACUCCUACGGGAGGCAGCAGUGGGGAAUAUUGGACAAUGGGCGAAAGCCUGAUCCAGCCAUGCCGCAUGAGUGAAGAAGGCCUUCGGGUUGUAAAGCUCUUUUAGUGAGGAAGAUAAUGACGGUACUCACAGAAGAAGUCCUGGCUAACUCCGUGCCAGCAGCCGCGGUAAUACGGAGAGGGCUAGCGUUAUUCGGAAUCAUUGGGCGUAAAGGGCGCGUAGGCGGGUUAGUAAGUUAAAAGUGAAAUCCCAAGGCUCAACCUUGGAACUGCUUUUAAAACUGCUAGUCUAGAGAUUGAAAGAGGAUAGAGGAAUUCCUAGUGUAGAGAUGAAAUUCGUAAAUAUUAGGAGGAACACCAGUGGCGAANGCGUCUAUCUGGUUCAAAUCUGACGCUGAGGCGCGAANGCGUGGGGAGCAAACAGGAUUAGAUACCCUGGUAGUCCACGCUGUAAACGAUGAAUGUUAAAUAUGGGAAGUUUACUUUCUGUAUUAUAGCUNACGCGUUAAACAUUCCGCCUGGGGACUACNGUCGC